ACAGAUUGGGAGGCUGUAUGAUGGAUAGUGGAAAUUGGGAGGCGGUAUUAUCCUUAUCAACUUUAAUUAUAUCCUUCACAUUUUAAAAGGGAAAUUUAUUUUAUCAUUACUACCAAAUAUACCCUCCCAGAUCUGGUACUCGAUACUUCUUCAUCAUCAUUUCUAGAAAGAAAAAUCAAUAAACCUCACCGCAACCAUCUUCAUCGUCGCCACCACCUCCACUCCAACACCAUCUCUAAUUCCGCCACCAUCUCCAGCUCUGCCAUCAGUUCCAGUGUCACCUCAUGUGCUUCCACCAAAUCCACCAUAAACAACACCACUACCACCUCCUCAACAAUCGAUUUAGAUCUUUUUUUCACCUGAUGCAACAACAAAAUUUAAAUCUAGUGAUGAACCAACGAAGAAGUAAUCUUCAAUACCUAAUAUUAACAAUCAAUAAACGUUAACUUGAUUCCUUUUAUAAACCCUAAUUUUGGAUGUUAUUCUUCUCUGGAUCGGUAACUGUUUCAGUAGCAUGUGUGGUGGUGGUGGUUGGUUGGUAUUAUUUGGGAUCCAAAUUCUAGGCGACAACAGGUCUUCAGUUUGAGCAAAUGGUUGAUUUUGGAAGAGCAUGGAGCUGUAGAUCGAAAGAUGGAUUUGUUUACAAGGGUUCUGAAUGUGAAAGUUAUUCUGCAACAAGGCUAAAGGUCAAUCUGAGGUUGUUUACAAGGGUUCUGAAUGUGAAAGUUAUUCUGCAACAAGGCUAAAGGUCAAUCUGAGGUUUACAGAUUCGUUGAAGAAUUUACAGCAGUACAAGAUGAAAUUGAUGGGUGUUUGAGCCGACUGGAGUUUGGGGAUUUCAUAAUUAAUCGUUUUAUGGUUGAUGUUCGAAGUGGGAAUAACUAGUAUUGCAAUUUCCAGUGUCAGUAAAAAAUACAAUUUUGGGGUUUUGAUUUUCUAAAGAAAUUAUGAAAGAAAUAGUGUUGUUGGUGGUGUUUGAGGUUCGAUUGAUUGAAGGUUAUGGACUUGAUUCAAUCAAGAAAUCAGAGAAGCAUCGGCUCUUGAUUUGUAUUGUUCUUAGUAUGUCGAACAGGUAGCAAUACAAACUGAAGUUGGGGUUGUUUCGGGUUUGAUGUUGUGUUGUAGGGUGACGAGACUCGGAUCCAUCUUAUGAAGAAGCUCAAUAUGUGGUGGUGCUAAUUAUUUUACACUGUAUAUGCGAGAUUGAAACAUCGCAGCAAUGGGGUUUUGAUGGCGAGAAGGAAGACUACCUCAGAUUAAUUUUGCAACAGAAUUUGGGGGUUUUGAAGUUAACCGAAAUUAGGGUGGUCUUGAGUUCGAGCUGGUGAUGUAUUAGGUGAUUGUUGGAGUCGCAGAACAGCUGAAGAAAAGUGUUGUUUCCACCAUGGUUAGUUGUGGUUCUUAGUACAGACCUAUGGGGAUUUCAGAUGAGAUGAAGUGAAGCUGGUGAUACAAGUUGAAUGGGGUUUAUUUUCGCAACAAAAAGACAUGGAAGUUGGGCAGUCCUUGAUAACGAGAAUCAGUGCUAACACUGGUGGUUUGUAUGGUGUCUUAGCAAUUAACACUAUCCACAGAUUUUGUGAGUUUCUGCUGGAGGGUUAUGAGUCUGAUGCUCGAGAAAAUGCCGCAUGAGAUCAAAAAUGAGGAGUUGUUAUUGCUGGUAGAUGGAAGAGUUCAAGAGGCAGCAGCUGAGGCAACAACUGGGAAGUGAACUAUUGCCAUCGAUUCAUGGAUGUAUGGAUCUCGGAUGAGAGCUGUUUGAGAUGGAGAAUUGCAGUCAGUGGUGGCAUUGUAAAGUUGAGACGAGAAUGAAGCUGGUGGUGAUUAAAUGAGGUAUUUGGUGAUAAAGUAACAAGAAGCAACAAGCAGCAACAGAUUGAAUUGGGGUAGCAGGUUGCGUCUGUGCCUGGCACUUGUGAAGCAUUUUGGUCCUGAUCGAGAAACAGUUGGCAGUAAACAAAUGUUGAACCUGAGUUCAGAGGUUAAUGUGGAUUAUGUCAGGUGGCUAGCUGGACUUUGGUGUCGUGGCCUGAUAUUAUGUUUGUAUGGUAUCGGAAAGCAGUGCUGGCGAAUUGUGCGAUAAAAUAGGUAAGAGAAAUAUCUUACCAACAACACUUCAUGUCAGUAUUUUAAUUUUUUUUAUGGGAUCAACUAUGGUUGUUGAUCCCAUUUAUGGAUCAAGUCCUGGUGUUGAUCCCAUCCUUUAUGGAUCAACAAUAGGUGUUGAUCCAAUAUAAUAUGGGAUCAACUACUAUUGUUGACCUUAUUUCCUUGGAUUUGUAUCAUUAUGCUUGUAGUUUAAAUUUUUGCAUUUUGUAGAUGUAAAUUCUCCAAAUGUUGAAUUUGUGGUGCAAUGGUAGCAUGACUGACUCCAUCCAUGUCAGAUGAUGCGUGUUCGAUUCACGCCAAAUUCACUCGUUCUUAUGUCAAAUUUUUU